UAGGGAGUCUUCCGCAAUGGGCGAAAGCUUGACGGAGCAACGCCGCGUGAGUGAUGAAGGUCUUCGGAUCGUAAAACUCUGUUAUUUGGGAAGAACAAAUGUGUAAGUAACUAUGCACGUCUUGACGGUACCUAAUCAGAAAGCCACGGCUAACUACGUGCCAGCAGCCGCGGUAAUACGUAGGUGGCAAGCGUUAUCCGGAAUUAUUGGGCGUAAAGCGCGCGUAGGCGGUUUUUUAAGUCUGAUGUGAAAGCCCACGGCUCAACCGUGGAGGGUCAUUGGAAACUGGAAAACUUGAGUGCAGAAGAGGAAAGUGGAAUUCCAUGUGUAGCGGUGAAAUGCGCAGAGAUAUGGAGGAACACCAGUGGCGAAGGCGACUUUCUGGUCUGUAACUGACGCUGAUGUGCGAAAGCGUGGGGAUCAAACAGG
rnacentral:rRNA from 1 species